rnacentral:rRNA from 1 species
GAUGAACGCUAGCGGCAGGCUUAACACAUGCAAGUCGAGGGGUAUAGUAGCAAUACUAGAGACCGGCGCACGGGUGCGUAACGCGUAUGCAACCUACCUUUACAGAGGGAUAGCCCAGAGAAAUUUGGAUUAAUACCUCAUAGUGUUAUUAGAUGGCAUCAUUUGAUAACUAAAGUUCCAACGGUAAAAGAUGGGCAUGCGUCCUAUUAGCUAGAUGGUAAGGUAACGGCUUACCAUGGCUACGAUAGGUAGGGUCCUGAGAGGGAGAUCCCCACACUGGUACUGAGACACGGACCAGACUCCUACGGGAGGCAGCAGUGAGGAAUAUUGGACAAUGGGCGCAAGCCUGAUCCAGCCAUGCCGCGUGCAGGAAGAAGCAUCUAUGGUGUGUAAACUGCUUUUUGUACGGGAAGAAACACUCCUACGUGUAGGAGCUUGACGGUACCGUAAGAAUAAGGAUCGGCUAACUCCGUGCCAGCAGCCGCGGUAAAG